UACGUAGGGUGCAAGCGUUAAUCGGAAUUACUGGGCGUAAAGCGUGCGCAGGCGGCUAUGCAAGACAGAUGUGAAAUCCCCGGGCUUAACCUGGGAACUGCAUUUGUGACUGCAUGGCUAGAGUACGGUAGAGGGGGAUGGAAUUCCUGGUGUAGCGGUGAAAUGCGCAGAUAUCAGGAGGAACACCAACGGCGAAGGCAGCACUCUGGGCCGGAACUGACGCUGAGGAGCGAAAGCGUGGGUAGCGAACAGG
rnacentral:rRNA from 1 species